rnacentral:rRNA from 1 species
UACGAAGGGGGCUAGCGUUGCUCGGAAUCAUUGGGCGUAAAGCGCGCGUAGGCGGUUACUUAAGUCGAAUGUGAAAGCCCUCGGCUUAACCGAGGAAGUGCAUCCGAAACUGAGUAGCUAGAGUACGAAAGAGGGUCGCGGAAUUCCCGGUGUAGAGGUGAAAUUCGUAGAUAUCGGGAGGAACACCGGUGGCGAAGGCGGCGACCUGGGUCGAGACUGACGCUGAGGCGCGAAAGCGUGGGGAGCAAACAGG